UACGUAGGGGGCAAGCGUUGUCCGGAAUCAUUGGGCGUAAAGAGCGUGUAGGCGGCCCGAUAAGUCCGCUGUGAAAGUCCCAGGGCUCAACCCUGGGAUGCCGGUGGAUACUGUCGGGCUCGAGUCCGGAAGAGGAGUGUGGAAUUCCUGGUGUAGCGGUGAAAUGCGCAGAUAUCAGGAGGAACACCGGUGGCGAAGGCGGGUCUCUGGGCCGAUACUGACGCUGAGGAGCGAAAGCGUGGGGAGCGAACAGG
rnacentral:rRNA from 1 species